GAUGAAGAACGUAGCGAAAUGCGAUACGUAGUGUGAAUUGCAGAAUUCAGUGAAUCAUCGAAUCUUUGAACGCGCAUUGCACCUCUCGGUAUUCCGGGAGGUAUGCCUGUUCGAGCGUCAUUUGUACCCUCAAGCUCUGCUUGGUGUUGGGUGUUUGUUCCGCCUCUGUGUGUGAACUCGCCUCAAAACAAUUGGCAGCCGGCGUACUUGUUUCGGAGCGCAGCACAUUUUGCGAUCCAGAUCAACGUACAGCGGCAUCCAAGAAGCCUUAUUUAACGCUCUUGACCUCGGAUCAGGUAGGGAUACCCGCUGAACUUAAGCAUAUCAAUAAGCGGAGGA
rnacentral:misc_RNA from 1 species